AUAGCGUAUAUUAAAGUUGUUGCAGUUAAAAAGCUCGUAGUUGAACCUUGGGCCUGGCUGGCCGGUCCGCCUCACCGCGUGCACUGGUCCGGCCGGGCCUUUCCUUCUGGGGAACCGCAUGCCCUUCACUGGGUGUGUCGGGGAUCCAGGACUUUUACUUUGAAAAAAUUAGAGUGUUCAAAGCAGGCCUAUGCUCGAAUACAUUAGCAUGGAAUAAUAGAAUAGGACGUUGUGGUUCUAUUUUGUUGGUUUCUAGAGUCGCCGUAAUGAUUAAUAGGGAUAGUUGGGGGCAUUGGUAUUGAGUCGCUAGAGGUGAAAUUCUUGGAUUGACUCAAGACCAACUAUUG
rnacentral:rRNA from 1 species